UGUCCCUCCCAGCCUGUGAGCUUUUAGAAGGUAUUGCAACCCGGCACAGGAGGUGACACUUACAAAUAUUCAAGCAAGUCCUCGAAGUCUCAUGUAGGGGAAAGAUUAUGUGAUCUGGAGGUGAAGGAGUGGCCCUAACUGGCCCUAAACACUUCGGGUGCCCCUGGGCACGUGGUUUCAUGGCUCUGAGCCUCGAUUUCCUCUUCUGGGUCUUCCUCUGUCACCCAGGCUGCAGUGCGGUGGCGCAAUCAUGGCUCAUUGUAGCCUCAACCUCCUGAGAUCAAGGGAUCCUCCCACCUCAGCACCCCGAGUAGCUGGGACCACAGACGCAUACCACAGCAUCUGGCUAAUGUUUGUAUAUUUUGUAGACAGGGUUUCACCAUGUUGGCCAGGCUGAUCUCGAAAUCCUGGGCUCAAACGAUCCACCUGCCUCAGACUCCCAAAGUACUGGGAUUACAGGAGUGACCCACUGCGGCCGGCACCCCCUUUACCUCGGAACAAUCCGUCUCUUUCCUUGGGGGCCCCCCAUGAUCUAGACACCACCCACCUUGUUCUGUCUUGGCCAAAAUACCACCUAACUGCCCCCACCCAUGCCGGGUGCCCCUCCCCCACCCUCCUCUGCUCUUCGCUGAGUCCUACUUGGGUGGUGCCCAGGACAGUGAUAGUCCCAACCCUUCCAGCCCAUCUCCCCACAUCAGUACACUCCGGAGAGCCAACCAAGAGUAGAUUCUUUAUUCAUUUAUCUUUCUUUAUUAAAAAAAAAAAGUAUUCAUUUGGUAUAAAAAAUAAAUAUUUUAAAUAUG